rnacentral:RNase_P_RNA from 1 species
GGAGCGGACUAGGCUGUCGCUGGUCGAGCUUGUCUCGGCGAGAGGAAAGUCCGGGCUCCACAGGACGCGGUGGUGGGUAACGCCCACCGGUCGCAAGACCCGGGAAAGUGCAACAGAAAGCAAACCGCCGCAAGGUAAGGGUGAAACGGUGAGGUAAGAGCUCACCAGCAGUUGGGGUGACCCACUGGCUAGGCAAACCCCACCGGGAGCAAAGCCAAACAGGAAGCCGUCCGUCGGGUCUUCGGACUCGGCGGCGCGGGUCGGUCCGGCCCGUUGUGACUUCCGGGUAGGCUGCUAGAGGCGGCGAGCAAUCGUCGUCGUAGAGAAAUGACCGCCGCCUGUCGCAAGACAGGAACAAAACCCGGCUUAUCGGUCCGCUCCGUGC